rnacentral:lncRNA from 1 species
UAGAGUUUCACUCUUGUUUCCCAGGCUGGAGUCCAAUGGUGUGAUCUCAGCUCACCACAACCUCUGCCUCCCUGGUUCAAGUGACUCUCCCACCUUAGCCUCCCGAGUACCUGGAAUCACAGGCAUGCACCACCACACCCAGCUUGAAGAACUCCCUUGAGUAUUUCUUGCAAUGCAGGUCAGACAUCAAACUACAGAUACAGGAAGCUCAAAGAACACCAAGAAGGAUGAAAGUGCCAAGAAAAAACUAAAGCAUAUCAUAUUCAAACUUCAGAAGAUUAAAUAUAAAGAAAACAACUUAAGCCAGAUGGGAAAAACACCUUACCUGUAGAAGGGCGAAGAUAAUAAACUUCUCCCCAGAAACCAUGCAAGCAAAGAGAGAGUGAAGUGAGAAGAUUUACAGGGUUGAGAGAAAAAAAAUCAACCUAGUACCCUGUACAAUUAUUCCUCAUAAAUGAAGGGAAAAUAAAGACUUUUUCAGACAAAUUGAGGGUAUUCAUUGCCAGUAGACCUGUCUUGCAAGACAUGUUAAAAGAAGUUUUCCAGAGAGAAGGAAAGUAAUACAGGAAGAAACUUAAAUCUAAAUAAAGAAGGGAGAAGCAUCAGAGAAUGAUUAAAUAAAGUUAAAAUAAAAACUUAUUCUAUUACUCUAAAUUGAU